UACAGAGGCCUCAAGCGUUAGGCGGAAUCACUGGGCUUAAAGCGUGUGUAGGUGGAUGCCUAAGUACCUUGUGAAAUCCCACGGCUUAACCAUGGAAUUGCUUGGUAUACUGGGUGUCUUGAGCCACUCAGGGGCUACCGGAACAACGGUGGAGCGGUGAAAUGCGUAGAUAUCGUUUGGAACGCCAAUGGUGAAAACAGGUAGCUGGGAGUGUGCUGACGCUGAGACACGAAAGCCAGGGAGCGAACGGG
rnacentral:rRNA from 1 species